UACGUAGGGUGCAAGCGUUGUCCGGAACUAUUGGGCGUAAAGAGCUCGUAGGCGGUUUGUCGCGUCUGCUGUGAAAACGCGAGGCUCAACCUCGCGCCUGCAGUGGGUACGGGCAGACUAGAGUGCGGUAGGGGAGAUUGGAAUUCCUGGUGUAGCGGUGGAAUGCGCAGAUAUCAGGAGGAACACCGGUGGCGAAGGCGGAUCUCUGGGCCAUUACUGACGCUGAGGAGCGAAAGCGUGGGGAGCGAACAGG
rnacentral:rRNA from 1 species